UCCGAGUAAACCACGAACGAGGCAGCCGUCAGCCGUCUCAAAAAAGAAAAAUGACCUUCACGAACUGUUGCUCUCUCCUCCUUGUAAUUAUAUUCAUCAACUCUAUUUCAACUGCCCCAACUUGUCCGGCCAACGAAGAACUCCGGGACUCCGGAAUUAGCGAAUCCUGUUACAACUGCAACUCCGGUCCCGGCGGAUUCUGUGCCACAAUUCACGAAAGAAAGUGCUACUGCAAAGACGGCUACAUCAGGGACCCGUCUCGGAACGUUUGUACAACGCAUUGUUAAACCGAAAUAUGGAUGGCAGGCAACCAACAAUGCAAGAAGUUAAUAAAGCGACCGCCUGAA